GCAACGAGCGCAACCCUCGUGACUAGUUACUAACGGUUCGGCCGAGGACUCUAGUCAGACUGCAAAACCGCAAGGAGGAGGAAGGUGAGGACGACGAACAAGUCAUCAUGGCCCUUACGGCCAGGGCAACACACGUGCUACAAUGGGCAGGACAAUGAGACGCGAUACCGCGAGGUGGAGCAAAUCUAUAAACCUGCUCUCAGUUCGGAUUGUAGUCUGCAACUCGACUACAUGAAGCUGGAAUCACUAGUAAUCGUAGAUCAGCUAUGCUACGGUGAAUACGUUCCCGGGUCUUGUACUCACCGCCCGUCACACCAUGGGAGUUGAGUUCACCCGAAGACGGGAAGCUAAACUGGCUACCGUCCACGGUGGGCUCAGCGACUGGGGUGAAGUCGUAACAAGGUAACC
rnacentral:rRNA from 1 species